rnacentral:rRNA from 1 species
UACGUAGGGGGCUAGCGUUGUCCGGAAUCAUUGGGCGUAAAGCGCGCGUAGGCGGUUUGUUGCGUCGGCUGUGAAAUCCCGAGGCUCAACCUCGGGUCUGCAGUCGAUACGAGCAAACUAGAGUGUUGCAGGGGAGACUGGAAUUCCUGGUGUAGCGGUGAAAUGCGCAGAUAUCAGGAGGAACACCGGUGGCGAAGGCGGGUCUCUGGGCAACAACUGACGCUGAGGAGCGAAAGCGUGGGGAGCGAACAGG